UAAGACAGAGGUCCCGAGCGUUAGGCGGAAUCACUGGGCUUAAAGCGUGUGUAGGCGGGUCGUUAAGUGUCUUGUGAAAUCCCAUCGCUCACCGAUGGAACUGCUGGACAUACUGGCGAUCUUGAGCCACUUAGGGGCAACCGGAACAAACGGUGGAGCGGUGAAAUGCGUAGAUAUCGUUUGGAACGCCAAUGGUGAAAACAGGUUGCUGGGAGUGUGCUGACGCUGAGACACGAAAGCCAGGGGAGCGAACGGGAUUAGAUACCCCGGUAGUCCUGGCCGUAAACGAUGUCGACUAGAUCGCAGUGGCUCUGACGCCAUUGCGGUCGAAGCAAAAGUGCUAAGUCGACCGCCUGGGAAGUACGGUCGCAAGGCUA
rnacentral:rRNA from 1 species